GCAAGUAAAAGUCGUAACAAGGUUUCCGUAGGUGAACCUGCGGAAGGAUCAUUCAUAAUAAGUGUUUUAUGGCACUUUUUUAAAUCCAUAUCCACCUUGUGUGCAAUGUCAGGGUUGAUUUUUCUCUCGAGAGGAUCAACCCCAAACAUCAACUAUAUCUCAACUCUUUGUCUGAAAAAUAUUAUGAAUAAAACAAUUCAAAAUACAACUUUCAACAACGGAUCUCUUGGCUCUC
rnacentral:misc_RNA from 1 species